AAUCAAACAAUCAAGAGUUUACAUUUUGCCACGUCAUCCACAUCAAGUCCAUCUCUCAAAGCUAAGAUCGCCGACGAGAAUCACUCGACUCUUCGAUUUCUUCGUUUCAUCUAUAUGUAAAUAGACGCUAUACUACCACUCUUGAUCUUGAUUAUUGAAUGGUGUUCUUUACUCAUUUCUUCAUGGCUUCUACUUAACUACCUUCAUCGAAUCUUGAUUAUUCAAUAGUGUUCUUUACUCAUUUCUUCAUGGCUUCUAUUUAAAUACCUUCAUCGAAUUUUACAUUCAACCAAAAUCCUUAUCUAUGUCUCUUCGCAUCUACAAAAACAAGUUGUUCCUAUUUCUAAUUGUUUUGAAAUCCGCGGGGCUGUUUAAUCCAUAUUGGUGUGUUUUCUCUGAUCCCGAAAUCGCGUCUGACUCACUGGCGCUCGAAUUAUGGUGUGAUCUGCGGUAACAACUAAUGGAAAGGCUGAAAAGAUGGCUACAUGUUUGCUUGAUCCUUUUCUUGAGACAUCAGAAGAUCAAAUUGCUAAAGGUAUCUACUCGAUUAUAUUCUCAAGCCUGAAGAUAGUAACAGUGCCUCUUGGUUCACUAAAGGAACAAUUCAAAGGUUUGUUCGAAUUCUGAGCAAUCCGGGUGUCCUUAGAACGUGUUUACAGUUUAAAGAGGCAUUAACUGUUGUUGUAUAAGCAGGUGAAAAAACACUAUCUAAGAGCAGAAAGUACGAAAGUUUAGCCAAUAUUUGAGAAUGUGAAUCAUGUAGAAAGGCAUUGGUACAGCUCAACGGGGAGAUCCUUUACGAGGUUACGUAGAAGCAAAAUGGUUUCUAUAAUUAAAAGGAUUUUCUUCUCAUAAUUUUCUCUCCGGAGAAAACAAUUAAUUCCAUCUUCUUCUAUUUUUGACAGCCUGAUUCACACAUGUAGCAAGCAAAUUGUUCUACCGUAUCUCAUGAAAAGGUUCAAGUCAUGAUAGUUCUGAAGACAAGGAGUAUGGUGUUGCAGAAAGAACAAGAACAAAGACAGAUGAAUCUUGAUACUUUCAGAGCGAAAUAGAGCGAAAAGAUGCUAUAAGAAAUCAGGAUAAGAGUUAUGGAACAAGUAAGAAGAUGAUCAAGAGAUUAGAGAAAAUACAGUGUUCAAAAAAGAGAGAGAAAAAGCUAAGAAGAUCAGGAACAGUCUUACCAAACAUGGUCAUAGUUAUCACCACGAUCAUGAUCAUGAAGAAGAAUAUGAUGAGCAAAAACCAAAAUGGCACAGUGAGCCAGUGUAUACACAAGCGGUGUAGCAGGUCAACCUGAGACACCGAGCCCUCCCGAAGAAACUAAUUUUUGGCAAUGGACAAAAGUUUUUCAGUUUGUGUCUUCGGAUUAUACCAAACCCGUUGAACUGGAGCCAUUACGAGAUAUCUUUCAUGAACACAAGAUGACGGAUACUUCAUAUUUGAUGAUAUGUUAUCUUUCAUUGUUCUGUAACCAGGAAGCUCGUAUCCAGGUGUUCAAGUUUGAAAGAAACUUGAGUAUCCCUAGCUAUCAUGUUCUGCUUCAUCAAUGUUGUAGGGAUGCCUGCUUAAAAUUCAUGGAUGUGUGGAAGAAAAGCACGAAUCUGGUCAGAGAACACGAAUCUGUUGUAUUGUUAUUUUUAUAGCAAGAAGGUUAAGUUCCAACCCAUAUAAAGGGAAAUAGCUGAUGAUGUUACAAAGAUAGAGAAUCUAAAGAUUACAGAAACGAUGGAGAGCUGAGAAAAACAAAACGGUGAUGUCAGGUUUGAAGUACAAAAUAACAUAAUCGUAAAAUGAAUUAUAUUUGAUGGACAAAUGCAAAUGGUGCUUUAUCCACCCAGCUACUAAUAUCUACAUUUUUAUUAUUUAGUUUUCUUGGCUAAAACUUUGUAUAUGAUCUCCCUAAUUUGCUUUUAUAUGCUGUUCUUUGUUUGAGGGUUUCCUUCUUGAUCGUGCACUCAAUAAAACAUAUUUAAAACUUA